UCGUGUACCUCUUCCCACCUCCCUCUUUCGCACUAGGCAGCGAAGUCGUACACAGAUUGCUUAGCGACCCUUCUACGUGCACUCGCAAACCCGCACGUACACGCACGCGCCGAUCGGAAGAAAACGAAGUUGGCUGAAUUAUGCCGCUCUCCAGCACAACCGAAAUCUGCAUGCUGGUAUGGCCACUCUCGGCCGCCAUGCAGAUCCUGGGCCCGAACGACUCUAUUGCGUGGGUGGUGGGGUGGAAUGACCGCAGCCUGUACAUCAUCGUGACCUGGUUUCUGCGCAACUGCACGUUGCUGGAGGCGAAGGCGGAGUUGCAGCAAAUCAGGUGUGUCCUGCAAAACUACAAGGGGCACAUGCCGGAGAUACCGUACAGUAACCUCAACAUCCUCGGCUGCGUGCGGCCCAACAGCGCCCCUAGCAGCUGUAACUUCUGCUCCGUCACGCAGGAGGAAGACAUCCGCGGCGCACGCAAGGGCAGCUAUCUCUGGCUGGAGCUCCUUGAGGGGCCAGUGCUGGCGGAGCUGUGGUGCUGCGGCGCGCGCGUGCAGCCCUGCCAGCUGCAUGUCGUGCGGUGUGAUCCGUCAAAGGCGCUUUCCAUUCGCCCCACCAUCUUUUCGGCCACAGCGCUCUACGGGGUGUCAGGCGUGCGACAGCUGCAGAGCGGCGUCGCGCCGGUGUGCGCACCAGGCGCGAACUCGAAUCUGGAGGGUGUUCUGCUCCCGCAGGUCAUGCGCAAAGAGGCGGAGCCGCGCGUACUCAAGCGACACCAGCAGCGCCGGUGCUACACGAGCGUCGUGAACGACUCCAUCACACUGGCCGCCGAGGACAGCUGCUUCUCCGACCGCGACACGGGGGAACAGUCGAGUGUGCUGGCAGACAAGCGCUGGGGGACGUCCUUCAAUGCCAACCCGAGUUUCACCGUUCAGGCCAGCAGCUCCGCACAGGACGCGUCCGUUACCACUGAGUUGCAUCGGAACAGCUCCCUGCGCGACCGACUGCCAGUAACCCAGGAGGAGAGCAUGUCGCUCUCGGAGGGCGACGGCAGCGCGACGGCAGCGCCGAUCGGCGUGAUGACGCUCAGUGACUCGGAAAUGGACCAACUGGACAGCAACGAUCGGAGGGGGAGGGGGCAGUCGGCGUUGCAGUUCGAGAAGCUCCUCGCGCAGAGUACGCCGGCCCCAUCCCACAGCAUUGCGCUGCCGCCGCCGGCGGGCGUGCCGCCUCGCCUCGACUUUACCUCGACCACGGACAGGGCAGAGAUGAGCGUCUUUUUGGCGACGAUGCGCGCUGGCCGGCAUGUGCGCCGCGUCAUGCAGAAGGAGCAAUUGUACAACUACGUCAAGGAGGACACCGAGGAGCCGCUGACGGGGGUGCUCAAGUACGCUGUCGACUUCAUCUCCACCUACGUGGUGGGUCUCUUGAAGCUCCUGCGUUUCAGCAGGACAGCGGAGGUGCUGCUCUAUCGAACCUCCGAGUUCGCACACUUUUUGUGCGCCGUCAGUUUCGCCAACGACUCCUGCGGCCUCCAUCCGGUGCUGCCGCACCAAGUCUCGUCCUCCAUCAAUCACCGCUAUGUCUGCAUCUUUGGCUACGUCUCGCGCUGCGCAGUGGACCUGGUUCUCGGAGUGCUUGUCUACCUGUGCUUGUCAGCCUGUGGCCCUUCCCUCUAUGCUGCCUCGCAGUACAUGACGCGUCACUGGCUGUAUGAGGUGCACGCGUCCUACAUGGACUGGUUCGACGGCUACCCCGCUGGGCUAAAGGUGAACGAGGACCUGAACAUGGCCCUCUGCUUCUUCGCCAAGUGCGUGCUGGAGGUGUGGGAUGCGCUGCUGAGAUGGUCUCCUGCCACGCUGCCGAGCCUUGUGUCCUUCCAAGCGGCCUCGGUGGCGGUGGAGGGGAACGUGUGCAGCACAGUCGCCGCCGUCAGUACGGCGGCGGCGUCAACGUGGUUUUCCCCAGCAUCCGAGGAUCAACGCCAAGCGGUGUACGAGUGGGUCAGCAUGGCAUUUCACCUGCGCAUCUUCUGUCUUCUGGGAUGCAGCACCGCCGCUGCCCUCGUCUCGGACGUGACGGGGCUCGUCUCGCUCCACCUGCGCUUCCUUCACCACGCCAUUGCGCUGCCAUACUGCUUCGCCCGCGUUCUGCUGACAAACCUCUUCCGCCAGUUCUACGGUGUCAAGUACAACCCCCUGCGCAAGCGGUACGACAUUUACCAUUUUCAGGUGGAUCAGAUGCUGGCCGCUACAUUUCUCUUCGUCAUCAUCAUCUUUCUGUUUCCAACGCUGGCCGUGUACUACCUGUACUUUUCCUUUGUGCUGGCAACAAUUUGGUACAUGGAGACGUGCCUUGAGUCUAUUGCCUACCUCUCGCUGCAUGUGCCUAUCCACCCGAUCGUCUACUGGCUGUGUGCACGGCAUCGUCUAAGUGGCGGGGUGGCGCUCUCGAAUCCUGUCAUCACCAGUGUGCGUCGAUUCCUCGGCUGUGGCAGCCGCCCAGGUCACGACGAGGAGGAGCUCGCCUCCCACACGGUUGAGGUGACAGUGGAGGCGCUGCCGCUCCCACUAUCUGCUAUGCUGACUGAUUUCUUCGUUGUUGUGGACAUCAGUAUGACCCGCCUGUGGCCGGCAAAGGUAGUCUCGUUGGUGCUGCGCGGCAGGAUUGAGUACUUACCGAAAAUGACAGACAUUCUCGGGCCCCAUCUUCUGACCAACUGCGUGUCGCCACGGUGCACCCUGUGUACGCCGUCACCUGAGAAGGACACGACCAAGAAGCACAAAUGACCAGUGGAAGUAUAUGAGCAGGAAAGAAUGUGGCGCUGUGCCAUAUCGCUCAUGUGUGUCUCCUUGCUUUCUCUCUCUGUGUUUGCUUUUCGUUUUUCGCUCUCCUUCACUGGCACUGCACGCCAACC
rnacentral:misc_RNA from 1 species